rnacentral:rRNA from 1 species
GGAGGGAUCAUUACCGAGUUUACAACUCCCAAACCCAAUGUGAACGUUACCAAACUGUUGCCUCGGCGGGAUCUCUGCCCCGGGUGCGUCGCAGCCCCGGACCAAGGCGCCCGCCGGAGGACCAACCAAAACUCUUAUUGUAUACCCCCUCGCGGGUUUUUUACUAUCUGAGCCAUCUCGGCGCCCCUCGUGGGCGUUUCGAAAAUGAAUCAAAACUUUCAACAACGGAUCUCUUGGUUCUGGCAUCGAUGAAGAACGCAGCGAAAUGCGAUAAGUAAUGUGAAUUGCAGAAUUCAGUGAAUCAUCGAAUCUUUGAACGCACAUUGCGCCCGCCAGUAUUCUGGCGGGCAUGCCUGUCCGAGCGUCAUUUCAACCCUCGAACCCCUCCGGGGGGUCGGCGUUGGGGAUCGGCCCUUUACGGGGCCGGCCCCGAAAUACAGUGGCGGUCUCGCCGCAGCCUCUCCUGCGCAGUAGUUUGCACACUCGCAUCGGGAGCGCGGCGCGUCCACAGCCGUUAAACACCCCAAACUUCUGAAAUGUUGACCUCGGAUCAGGUAGGAAUACCCGCUGAACUUAAGCAUAU